rnacentral:rRNA from 1 species
GGGGAAUAUUGCACAAUGGGGGAAACCCUGAUGCAGCGACGCCGCGUGAGUGAAGAAGUAUUUCGGUAUGUAAAGCUCUAUCAGCAGGGAAGAAAAUGACGGUACCUGACUAAGAAGCCCCGGCUAACUACGUGCCAGCAGCCGCGGUAAUACGUAGGGGGCAAGCGUUAUCCGGAUUUACUGGGUGUAAAGGGAGCGUAGACGGUCAAGCAAGUCAGAAGUGAAAUCUAUGGGCUCAACCCAUAAACUGCUUUCAAAACUGUUUUUCUUGAGUAGUGCAGAGGUAGGCGGAAUUCCCGGUGUAGCGGUGGAAUGCGUAGAUAUCGGGAGGAACACCAGUGGCGAAGGCGGCCUACUGGGCACCAACUGACGCUGAGGCUCGAAAGUGUGGGUAGCAAACAGGAUUAGAUACCCUGGUAGUCCACACCGUAAACGAUGAUUACUAGGUGUUGGAGGAUUGAACCCUUCAGUGCCGCAGUUAACACAAUAAGUAAUCCACCUGGGGAGUACGACCGCAAGGUUGAAACUCAAAGGAAUUGACGGGGGCCCGCACAAGCAGUGGAGUAUGUGGUUUAAUUCGACGCAACGCGAAGAACCUUACCAAGUCUUGACAUCCCUUGACAGGCAUAGAAAUAUGUUUUCUCUUCGGAGCAAGGAGACAGGUGGUGCAUGGUUGUCGUCAGCUCGUGUCGUGAGAUGUUGGGUUAAGUCCCGCAACGAGCGCAACCCUUAUGGUCAGUUACUACGCAAGAGGACUCUGGCCAGACUGCCGUUGACAAAACGGAGGAAGGUGGGGAUGACGUCAAAUCAUCAUGCCCUUUAUGACUUGGGCUACACACGUACUACAAUGGCGUUAAACAAAGAGAAGCGAGACCGCGAGGUGGAGCAAAACUCAGAAACAACGUCCCAGUUCGGACUGCAGGCUGCAACUCGCCUGCACGAAGUCGGAAUUGCUAGUAAUCGUGGAUCAGCAUGCCACGGUGAAUACGUUCCCG